rnacentral:sRNA from 1 species
UGAUAUCCAAGAACUGUAUGACACCACCUUGGCCCUGGGCCACGCGGCGGCUUUCUCAGAUGACUGCGAUUUGCCCUCUGCUCAGGACAUAAACAGACUCGUGGGACUUCAGAACACAUAUAUGGGCUAUCUGGACUACCGGAAGAAGGCCAUCAAGGACCUUGGCAUCAGCCCCAGCACCUGCUCUUUCAAUCCUGGUGUGAUUGUUGCCAACAUGACAGAAUGGAAGCACCAGCGCAUCACCAAGCAAUUGGAGAAAUGGAUGCAAAAGAAUGUGGAGUACGUGAAGGCUUCUCUACCAUUUUUUCCAUGCUUGGAAACAAAAUCAUUCAAUUAAUUUUCCACACAUAGUUCAAGGGUUAGAAAUAUUUCACAGUCAUCUUAGGUCAGAUUUUCUUAGAGGCAAUGUUAAGAAAGAAAAGGGGGCAGUCAAUUAAAACCUUUCCUCAAAAGAUAUAAAUCAGAGGAAUCAAGAUCCUGUGGAGCGAGGAGUCCCUGAUUAUACAUUUUCCUAGUAAGCUGUUGAAAAAUGUGACUUGAAUCUUUUCCACCAAACAAUCUUCAUUUAUCUUAGUUGAGUUUCCCCUCCUAACAUAGAUUUUUUUAUUAAGGAUUAUUAUAUAAAGUCAAUUUUGCUUUUUAAGGUUUAUUUUUAUAAUUUAUAAUUUUUCGUUAUCGGAGUUUUAAAAUAGAGAAGAUAAAAAUAAGUCUAAUACAAGCACUAUUAUCCCAUCAUUGUAUUGCCUAG